rnacentral:rRNA from 1 species
UACGGAGGAUGCGAGCGUUAUCCGGAUUUAUUGAGUUUAAAGGGUGCGUAGGCGGACUGUCAAGUCAGCGGUAAAAUUGAGAGGCUCAACCUCUUCCCGCCGUUGAAACUGGUGGUCUUGAGUGGAUGAGAAGUACGCGGAAUGCGUGGUGUAGCGGUGAAAUGCAUAGAUAUCACGCAGAACUCCGAUUGCGAAGGCAGCGUACCGGCAUCCAACUGACGCUGAGGCACGAAAGCGUGGGGAUCAAACAGG